rnacentral:rRNA from 1 species
UACGUAGGGUGCAAGCGUUGUCCGGAAUUAUUGGGCGUAAAGAGCUCGUAGGCGGUUCGUCGCGUCGGCUGUGAAAUCCCGAGGCUCAACCUCGGGUCUGCAGUCGAUACGGGCGGACUGGAGUUCGGCAGGGGAGACUGGAAUUCCUGGUGUAGCGGUGAAAUGCGCAGAUAUCAGGAGGAACACCGGUGGCGAAGGCGGCGACCUGGGCCAAUACUGACGCUGAGGUGCGAAAGCGUGGGGAGCAAACAGG